GUGCAGUGAGUUUUACUUCGACCAGAUGAUAGAGUUCAUCUUCAUAGCAGGAUUCAGGAGUGAUGUUUGAUUUGUACCACAUGGUACAGAAGGCAUAUCCUGCUCCGUCAUGAAGGAGUGCUUGUCCAUCAUGAAAGGAUAGGUUGGGAUGCAUUUCCUUCUUGAUGGUGCCAGUGAGAAGAAAAACAUGUUUUGUCCAUGAUGAAUCCGUAGUAUACACCCCCCUCAGGGAGUGGCAGAAGAGUGGACGGAUUGAGAACUUGACAUCUUUGGAGGGUAAUGUUGUCAGGCAACAAAAGAUGACAUUGAAGGCGAAGAUGCCUAGCAGGAGUAACAUGCUUAAGUUGGACCUGGUUGACUAUGGC